AUCUCAGCGACUGGAUAGAAACAUUCAAAGAUCAAUGCAUUGACAAGGAAAGUCUUUACUGUCUGGGUGAUCAAGAAAUUGCUGAAUUGAUCCCAACAGUGGGACCAAGGUCAAAAUUCAAGAAGAGACUCAAGUUGUUAAAGG